rnacentral:rRNA from 1 species
GGGAGAUAAGUUAGUUAAUAAUUUUUUUAUUAUAGAAAUAUUUAUUAAAUUAGUUAAAUUUGUGCCAGCAGCUGCGGUUAGACUAUAAAUUUGGUUGAUAUUUUUUAGGGUUUAUAAGAUGAUUUAUUUAAAAUAUAAAUUUUUGGUGAAAUAAUAAUUUGAGUUUUGAUAGUAUUUAUUAUGAUAUUUUUUUAUAAAAGCAGGAUUAGAUACCCUGUUAUUAAAAAUUAUAUUUUUUUUCUAAGGAUUAAAGUUAAAUUUAGAAGGUUUGGCGGCUGAAAUAAAUUAAAGGGGUUUGUUUUUUUAUUUGACGGGGCUCAUUGUUUUUUACUUGUUUUGUUUAGUAUACCGUCAUUUAGAUAUUCUAUAAUUAGUUAAUUGUUGGAAUAGAUUUUAGAAAGUUAGAUCAAGGUGCAAAUAUAGGUAAGGGUAAAUUAACUACAAUAAUGUAUUAUUAUACGUGUUUUUUUUAAAUUAGAAUUAUAGGCGGAUUUAAUUGUAAUUAAAAUUAUAUGAAAGUUAUUUCAGUGUACAAAUUGCCCGUCAUUCUCUAUGAGACAAGUCGAAACAAAGUAGGGAUAUCGGAAGUUGGACCUA